UGCCAGCCGCCGCGGUAAGACGGAGGGUGCAAACGUUGCUCGGAAUCACUGGGCAUAAAGCGCACGUAGGCGGCCUGCUAAGUCUGGCGUGAAAGCCCUCGGCUCAACCGGGGAAUUGCGUUGGAUACUGGCGGGCUCGAGGGCGGUAGGGGUGAGUGGAACUCCAGGUGGAGCGGUGAAAUGCGUAGAUAUCUGGAGGAACACCAGUGGCGAAAGCGGCUCACUGGACCGUCUCUGACGCUGAGGUGCGAAAGCCAGGGUAGCGAACGGGAUUAGAUA
rnacentral:rRNA from 1 species